AUAUUUUGGGGGCACACAAUUCAAUCCAUGACACAUACCUUUGUGUGACAUGUGCCUUCCUCGAACCUUGUUACAAUACCAGCGCAUUACCUAUCUGACA